UCAAGGCGGCCCAGAGCUGGAUGAUGAAAGGAGAUAAGGAGGGGCGGUUUCAAGGCCUCCCCUAGGCGAACCUAGUUGGCCCCAAAGCUAAAGGAGAGUCAAGAGUGACUUAAUCAAAGGGAAUACGUUAAAAAGGGGGAAAUUACAUGUUGUAUUAAAUAUAGAGUGUAGAUGCGCGGAUUAAUAUAGUCUAAUACAACACCAACUUAAUAAAGCGAGUAGACUGCAUAGAAAUUAUUGAACUCAAGGAAGUAUAUCGGAGUGCGAGAGAAAAAAACGUUCGCGAGAGCUUGGCUAGAAAUGGAGGCGAAAGAACUGUUCUCAAAGUAAUGAUUACUCAGGUCUGUGAUUUUGAGGGAAUUUUUCGUCGCUAUUUACGUUGCAGCCGGCCUAAUUGUUACGUAUUUUCCUUUUUCAUUAAUGGAUUUUCCACUAUCGCUAUACUGAACGGGACCUUGGAAAGGACUACAGGAAAAGCGACCCCCUUUCCAUCUCUCCGGGGAGAUCUUGGACGCAUUCAAUCAUUUUUGCUCCUCCAUAUUGGACUUUUCAACCCUCCACCCCCAACCCUUUUAAAAAGACCCCACCUUAAUCAAAGUAAUCAUGGUAACCUAAUAUUUUCCCUAAUCACAUGCGGAAAUUCACUCAGAACGCUCUAAAGUGAAUCGUCCAGUAAGAUAUACGACGCGCUUUUUAGGACGUCGACGCGGCGGCAAAAACUUCGAAGUUUUUAGACGAAAAGCUAGCAGGACACAUUCAAAACAUGUCUUCUUGUAAACGUGUUCUGUGAAUUUUUGCCACGUCGUUACCUGUUCUUGUUUGCUUGUUUAAAAUAUCUUCAGAAUCAAACAACAGACAGCAAUGUUAAGGCCAUUUGUAAAAACACCACAAACACAUAUUCGCUUCGAUGUACUGUUUACUCAACGACUUACAGCUUUACCUUGGAGUAAAAAUGUAUCCCUUACAAUAGACAUUGGUUAUCCUUAAAUAAAAGAAAUGCCCGUCCCUAAAAGCAGGUUAGAAAAUAAAUCGUAUAUUUUUACAUCCAAAAUAGGUUAUUUGCCUUGAAAGCGAGGCGUAUUUUCCCACUCAUCCCCGGAGCAAAUUCUGCCUCCACCCCUACCUUUAAGGUCAACGCCCCAGGAGUCGUGACGUCAGAUUAUUAACUCCUUCGUCUCUGCACAUUCAAAGCUCCGUUUCUCAAAAGGCUUCUCUCCUAACAAAAUUCAUUUGGGGUUGUUUACCAUUACAGCUAAAAUACAAUGUCAAGGUUUCUACAGGUGAAAACACAGACAUAAAUGACAAAUAAAACGCAUUUAUA